rnacentral:rRNA from 1 species
UACGUAGGUCCCGAGCGUUGUCCGGAUUUACUGGGUGUAAAGGGGGCGCAGACGGCAGCGCAAGCCAGGAGUGAAAGCCCGGGGCCCAACCCCGGGACUGCUCUUGGAACUGCGCGGCUGGAGUGCAGGAGGGGCAGGCGGAAUUCCUGGUGUAGCGGUGAAAUGCGUAGAUAUCAGGAGGAACACCGGUGGCGAAGGCGGCCUGCUGGACUGCGACUGACGUUGAGGCCCGAAAGCGUGGGGAGCAAACAGG